AACAUCGACAUUUCGAACGCACAUUGCGGCCCACGGAUCUAAUUCCUGGACCACG
rnacentral:rRNA from 1 species